UGGAUGCGUCCCUGUGCCCCCUGCUCUGGGUGUGCCUGCUCAAGCACGGGGGGUUGGACAAGAUGAUCUCCAGAGGUCCCUUCCAACCCCUACCAUUCUGUGAUUCUGUGAUUUUCUGUGAAAAAAAAAUCACUCCUGCUGCCUCCUUCUCAUUUGACCCGUGUCCAAAUGGCAGUUUAAAGAGAUCAUUUGCAUGGCACUGUGCUACUGACACAGUCUUUGACCUUUGAGGCAGUCUCGCAAACCAGAUGACUCUAAUUACAAAUGCCUUUGAAACGCACCUUCCAGUUGACCUCAUGCUGUCCACUGGAGACAAGACCACUUGAAAAUAGAAACUUGAAGAGAAACAUGCAAGCUGACGUAGUUUCCAUAGGAGCUUGAGAUGCUCACUGUCAAGUUUAUCCCAGAUAUUUGUGAGGUCUGGGCUGAAACUGCAGAGACAGAGUGGAGGAUACCUUCCACGUGCCACAGUGUCCCUAAGGAGACUCUGGGCAGCUGAGAAGGAGACCUGGCUGUUCCCCAAGACAUCUCUGCAGGGGCUGAUGACCAGUACUCCAGGCACACAAGAGAUGUGGACCCUGGGUCUUCAUUUCAGGGGAGCCAAGACCAGAAGAACAGCUGUUAGGGUCACCAUUAAUACCCUAUUCAAGGUGCUGUAGGAACAUCCCUGAUGUUCAGCAGUGGUGCUUUUUGGUGGCACCAGAGCCUUGGACCACUGCCUGGGUAAGCCCCUGCCCAGUCAGGGAAUCAUUUGCCUUUGGGUUUGCGUUUUCAUAGGAGGUGAUUACUUGUCGAGUGCUCAAAACCAAGAUUCUUCUCUGAGAUAUGUUGAUGUAAACAUUGGACUUCAUAGAAGUACAGUAUUGUUCUCCUUCAGAGCAGCUGGAGGUGGUGCAAGUCCUCCCUGAGGGGAGUCAGACCAUGAUUUCUCCUCAGUAUAGCUGCCGGCUGCAAAACCACAAGAGGGAAAGGUCUGUAACUUGCAUUAUUUCCACUCCAUCUCUUAAAGAAGGAAUUACUCAAACUCAUUAAAGAUUAUUACAAGGUACAACUGUCUAGCUCAUUGGCCUUUUCAUUUCCUACUCUAAUAACUUGGAAUUUUUCUUUUUUUUUUUAAAGCUAACACUGCUAAGUGAUCACUUAUGGAUGUUUGCAUUUUCAUGGAACAUGCAUGCAAAAAGCCCAGCUGAUGAUUUCUGCCAAAAGGUUUGAAAAAAUCCAGGCUUUGAGAGUAAACUAGCCUUUUUUGGCACUCUAUAAAAAUCCCAGAUGAUUAAAAAGUCACAGAAUCCAUUAUUCCUGUAACAAACCCUAAGUACUGCUAAUCACAGAGGUAAUGAGCUUUUAAUAUUAAAAUCUCUCUGGCAGAUAGGUUGGGAAGAAGAGUAUGUGACCUCUGUGUGCUGAAAUACUGCAUUGUGUUACAUGCUCCCGAGCUUCUCACUUGUUUUUUGUUUCACAAAUUGCAGAUGUGCACCUGCUCUUCUCUGCCUCUUCACAGAGAAAAUGGAUGUCUUUUUUGAAGAGACAUUUUAAUCGGAUGGAGAUUACUGGACUUACUACAGGGGGCAAAUAGUUCAAACCUGUGGUGUGUAUCAUCCAAGCUUUGUGGGCCCACACUGAACAGCCCAUGGAGAGCUGGAGAGGGAGUCUGUUUCCUAGUCCAACAGUGGCUUCAGUUGAACCGCAACUCGGCAAUGAAGGAGGAAAACAGUACUUGCAGCACUGGCCACACUCCAGGCCCUUAUGUCUCCUAGGUAGGAAACUUACUCCUGGUGUAUAUGUCUUGCCAUGUUUUCAGCAUGUCACAUGCCCUGUGUUAAGCCACAUGAACAGCUUGGUCCUGUGCCAUGCCCCCCGUGGAGAAAAGUACUGCUCUCUGGCUAGCGACACAAGCUUCUGUGCUGGGAAGUGGCAUGCUGAUGUUGAGUCGAGCAGCCCCGUCAGCAUUACAAAGCCUUGCUGGGCAAAUAAACAUCAGCUGAGCAGCCUACAAAGCACGGCUGACUGCUUAGGCAUUUGUGUACAUGAUGGGCUCUGGACCUGCAGGCCAGCAGCCUGGAGCUUCCCUGAUGGAGCCUCUGAGACUGCUGCUGGCUGAUGGCACGUGGUCAUGAAACAGACAGGCUGAGAAAGCAGAGGGUUACACACCAGCUGGUUGUUGCUGACCGGACCACACUCAACCUGGAGAAAACAGUCCAGGAGAAAAACAUGCUGAUGCCAUAACACCUCUAGAUGAACACCCCUAUAUGGGUGGACCGGGCUAGGUCUUCGAGACUAAAAAGACUUCCCAGCCUGAAAAAAAGAGAAUUUUUGCUCUGUACGGAUGUGCUGAGAUGGAUGGUUAGGAGUCAUUAACACACACCUACCAGCCAUUUUUAUUUCAAGAAUAUCAAGUAGUACUGGUACCCACCACCUGUAAUUAUUUUACAUCUUUAAUUCCUGCUCUGGACUGCAAGCCCAAAGCUAUCCUCACAGGUGCGAGGAGGCUGCAACACCGUGCCAGCCCCUGGAGAUGUAUGUUUAACCCAGAAGCACCGAUCCCUGUAUUGCAGCCAGUACUAGCAAGCACCGGUCUAGGGACAGGUGAGUGCAACAUGCUGCAUCACCUGGGAAGAAGCUACCUGAAGGUCAGCUGCUGCACAGUGACCUCCGCAUGGAGGCUUCCUGUCGGUGGGAGGCAGGCGUAGGGGCCACAUCCCAGUACAGCUGGCUCAUGAAGACACGAGAAAGCUGCGGUGAGCCCAAAAAGUUGCUGGGAUGGCACAUCAUGCACUGCCCGCUUUAUGGAAGAAAGGUGGAGGACAAAACUCCCCAGCAAGUAAAGUAACAGGACAGCAACAACACUGCAGUGCUCCUGCAGCAUUGUGGUGUGCUUCUGUAGCACAUGGCAGUUUACAAAGCACUUGAUGAUACUCCAGUGGAAACAGGAAUUUUUCAACACCUUAGAUGGGAAAGGGACUAAGACUGUGAUAGUAAGCUGAUUUAAGCAGAUCAGACUAAUUACCGUGUAAGAACUGCCUUUAGCACUGCAACACUUGUCUGCCUUGCUCAGGUAUUCUGAAGGAAAAAAAGAAAUAGCUGGAACGCUGCAUUUCUGCAGAGCCUACCAGCAUGCCAGAGCAAGCUCUCGCAGUACCUUGUUACCACUGGAUGAAAAGCAGCAUCUUCCCGUCGGAGACCAGGCUGUAUUUAUUUCCGUCACUGCCGCCCAGCACAGCUACCUGCAGUGCACUCGGGCGACGUGACCACUGCGGAACCUGCAAAUGACCCGAGGCAGUUCGUUCCUUUCGCCUCCCGCCUCGGCCUGGGGAUCCUGGAGGUUUUUCCUGUCCCGAGGAGGUGAUGAAAUCGCAUCAACUGGCAUUUAAUGCCCUGCGGUGGGGUGCUGGAACAAGCUCCGCGCGCCAGCUGUCACCAGUGACGCACUUGUCCAACUGAGGUUAGCGCGGUUUAACUCGGUGCCGUUAAGGACCGCUUCCUGACCCUCUCCCUCCCGCGGGGCGCGGCGCUGGGGACGGCGCAGGCCGGCGGCGCGGCAGGGACGCGGCCCGCUCUGGCAGCCCUCCGUGGCAGCCAGGGCCCGUCCCUGGGCCUGCCGGGGCUGCGGCCGGGCCUGCGCCGGGGCAGGUGAGCGGGGCCCGCGGCCCUCGGGCAUCGCCCGGGGCUCUGGGUCCGAAGGCGGAGCCGCACCAUCGACCGGCGGGUGCCGGGAAGGGCCCCGAGGAAGGGGUCGAGGGGGGGAAUGUUUGCCGCCCCUCAGCUGCCGGGCGGUGCAGCUCCGUUACCGGUUUCCUGUGGUUUCCCGCGGGCCCCACGCCGCACCCCCAACCCGCAAGGAAGAGCGGCCGCGCCGCCUCCCACACGCCGCGCCGGGGGAUGGGAGGGGAGGUGGGUGGGGUGGCGCGCAUGCGCGGUGGCCCCCCUCACUGCUGUCAUCCGACGGCCGAAAGCCAGUCGCCCGCCGGUAACGGCGACGCGGUACCGCGGGGCCAGGGAGGGGCCGCCGCCGCCCUCGCUGCUGCCUCACGGUAAGGAAACGCCACCGGCCGCGCGCUGCCGGCGCUCGGCGGACGGAGCGCGACGGGCCGCGCCGCUGCCGCCCCGGGCACGCGCCGCCCGGCCGCUGUUCGCCGGCCCCGCCGCCCCCUGGCGGCCGGAACGCGGCACUGCAGCGCCGGCCCCGCGCUGGGGCACCGCCCCCUGGCGGCGGAAAGGCGGCGCUGCCACAGCGGGUUUCUUGUCCGGCGUCUCCUCUGCAGCUCCCGGGCCGUAGGUUUUAUUUCGUAGGAUCGCAGAAUCCUUUGGGUUGGAAAAGACCUUUGAGAUGGCAGAGUCCAACCGUUGACCUGAACUGGCAAGUCGCCACUAACCCAUGUCCCCAAGCGCCACAUUUACAUGUCUUUUAAAUACCUCCAGGGAUGGUGACUCAGCCACAUUCUGGGCAGCCUGUUCCAAUGCUUGACAGGCCUCUUGGUGAAGAAACUUUUCCUAAUAUCUAAUAUAAACCUCCCGUGGUGCAGCUUGAGGCCAUUUCCUCUUGUCCUAUUGCUUAUUACUAGGGAGAAGUGACCAACACCCACCUCACUACAACCUCCUCUCAGGUAGUUGUAGAGAGUGAUGAGGAGGCUGAGGGGAGACCUUUUCUCCAGACUAAACAACCCCAAUUCCCUCAGCCUCUCCUCAUAAGACCUGCUCUCCAGGCCCUUCACCAGCUUCGUUGCCCUUCUCUGGACACAAUCCAGCACCCAAUGUCCUUCUUGGACUGAGGGGCCCAAAACCAAACACGAUAUUCAAGCUGCGGCCUCACCAGUGCCGAGUACAGGGGCACAAUCGCCUCCCUGCUCCUGCUGGCCGCACUAUUCCUGAUACAAGCCAGGAUGCUGUUGGCCUUCUUGGCCACCCGGGCACACUGCUGGCUCAUGUUCAGCCAGCUGUUAGCCAACACCCCCGGGUCCUUCUCUGCCAGGCAGCUUUCCAGCCACUGUUCCCCAAGGCUGUAGCGUUGCAUGGGGUUGUUGUGACCCAAGGGCAGGACCCAGCACUUGGCCUUGUUAAACCUCAUUCCAUUGGCCUCGGCCCAUCAAUCCAGCCUGUCCAGAUCCCUCUGCAGAGCCUUCCUACCCUUGAGCAGAUCAACACUCUUGCCCAAGUUGGUGUCAUCUGCAAACUUACUGAGGGUGCACUUGAUCCCCUCAUCCAGCUCACUGAUGAAUUCCUCCUGCUGUCUUGUCAGUUGUUUUUUCAAUCUUAUUUCAAGUUCUCCCUCUAUGCAGUUCAAUGUCCCUAUUUUUUAAUUCUUGCCUAUGUUUCUCGUACCCUCUUGCCUUCAAAUUAUCUUUCUGUGUUUCUCUGUUGGGUUUAUGUGUCAAGGUUUUGGUAGUAGGAAGCUGCAGGGUGGCUUCUGUGAGACGACAUCAGGAGCUGCCCCUGUGGCGGACAGAGCCAGUUCCAGCCGGCUGCAGGAGGGACCUGCCAGUGGCCAGAGCUGAGCCACAGUUGUCCAGGUGGGGCCCCAGCACUGCCGAGUAGAGGGGAAGGAUCAUUAGACUUUGCUACUGCCCCAAGCAAGGUGGCUUCGCCAGAGACUGCCAGGAGAAGAGGUAUUCCUGUCCACUGUCUCGCCAGACUGGCCUGUGAGGGAGAUGCCUGGCAGCUGACAGGAGGCAGAAGAAGAGGAGGUGAGCUGUGCAACAUGGUUUUUACAUCCACCUUGUAAAACGAAAUAAUUUCCUGUGGCCAGAACUAGUUAUGAAAGACAAGUCUGUCUGUACUAGAACUGGGUUUGAAAGCUACAUGGAAAGAAGUUCUCACUUUAGUUAUGAAGGUCUAGCAUCUGUAUUUGCAGCGGGAAGUCUUUUGGGAAAAGGGAGUAUUUGCCUUCUUAUAAGGGGCUGCAUCCCCCACCUAGGAACAGAUGUGGUUUCAUAAGUCAGAAGCCAGGAUGUUUUAUGUAGCUCCCUGUAAAUCUUUGGAAAUGUAGAGGAAGCGACAUCUCCCAUCUUCUCCUCUAGCUUUCUCCAUUUCCCAUGAAACUGAUUAACUAUUUCACAUUUUGCUUCUGCCUCCCAACGUUUCUGGCCUUUGCAAUCAGAUUCCAGAGCACGACGGGGCUCUGCGGUGCCCUUUUCUACUAAUUGUUAUGUAAGAUGAGGACAAUGUAAGUAUCGGGAACUUGCCUGUUCUCAGCUUCCCUAAAUCAAACCAGUCCCAAGGAUCUCUCUCCAGGUCAGAAGGCAGGAGAAGUCACUGUCCUUACGACACAGCACAGCCGAAGUGAAGGGCACCUUUACAGUCAAGGAGAGCAAAUGGCUCGGUCAACACUGCAGGGUACGGCCGCUUGGUUUUUUUUAAAAAAAGGGGCAUGACAGUCUUGUUCUGUCUUAUCCUUUCAGGUUUGCAAUCUAAACAAAAUGGAUGUCUAUUAAUUCUAUUUUAAUAACACUUUCAUUGUGUCAUAUGUGUCAAAGAUUUUAGAGUUCCUAAGAAAUGUAACCUUGCGAAAGCCUUUUUUUUAACUCACCAGUGAAAACUAGCAGGUCCUACCAAAACAGAAACCUGCAAUUUUUCUAUACACAGACCAUACAAGUCAUCAUCAAGCAAUCAAGAGAAACCGUGCUUUAUUUAACAUAUGUUUUUUAGCCCACCAGAAUAAAACCAAGAAACUUUCUCCAAAAACCUGGCUGUAGUGUUGGGCCUUUCUUUCUUUGGAAGAUCUGUGCAGUCAGUUUAUUUAAACAUGGUUAACUUCUGGACGUAAAUUAUUUUUAAGAAUCCUAGCAAGACUAUGGAUUUAUUUUAAUAAAAGGAAAACUCAAGAGGCCUCGCUAGCUUUUGUUGCUUUCUGUAAUGGAGAUUUUUUUUCCUAUCUAAUAUUUAUGAAUAUACUGCACAACAAAACAAGUAUUCUUGCAUAAUUUAUUUAUAUACUCAUGUUUGAGGAAGGAAUUAUCAGCAUUUUACUUAGUGUCUAACUCAGGAAAAUUAUUCUUUCUGGAUGUAAAAAAUCAAAGUUCCUUUUCAUUUUAGUUGUCAUAAACACCAUCUCCAAAUUUCCCUUUGCUUCUACCCUACAACCAAAGUAAAACACAAGCUCUUUAUUUUAAAUUCCCCUCUCCCCUUCUUUGAUAACUCCUUGUGCUGGUUUUGGCUGGGAUAGAGUUAAUUUUCUUCUUAGUAGCUAGUAUGAGGCUGUGUUUUGGGUUUGUGCUGAAAUCCCUGUUGAUAACACAGGGAUGUUUUAGUUACUGCUGAGCAGGGCUUACACAGAGUCAAGGCCUUUUCUGCCUCUCACCCCAGCCCACCAGCGAGGGGCUGGGGGUGCACAAGGAGCCGGGAGGGGACACAGCUGGGACAGCUGACCCCAACUGACCCAAGGGAUAUUCCAUGCCAUAUGACGUCAUGCUCAGCCUAUAAAGCUGGGGGAAGAGGAAGGAAAGGUGAGCUAUUCGGAGUGAUGGCAUUUGUCUUCCCAAGUAACUUAUGCACGAUGGAGCUCUGCUUUCCUGGAGAUGGCUGAACACCUGCCUGCCCAUGGGAAGGAGUGAAUGAAUUCCUUGUUUUGCUUUGCUUGUGCUUUUGCUUUACUUAUUAAACUCUCUUUAUCUCAA